AUUGCUGGACAGGAGAGUUAUGGCUCGGCUGUGAGGCAGAGGUUAGGGGUAGGAGAGAAAUACUUACUGGAAUGCUGGAGGAUCAGAGGUCUGCUCUGCCCCAAGAGUGAUAGCCACAUGACUGCUGGAAACUGGAAGCCCAGCUGGAACCACUACAGCUAUCAGAAACAGAUGGCACUCUAACACUUUAAUAAGCACCUUGUGAUGGAGAAUUCUGUCUGGAUUCUUCCAACAUUUAUCCAUACUGCUAUAUAAAGAAAGCAAGACAUAUA